AAUGAACGCUGGCGGCGUGCCUAAUACAUGCAAGUCGAGCGACAACACAAGAAGCUUUCUCUCUUGACGUUGGCGGCGGACGGGUGAGUAACAAGUAGAUCACCUACCACUAAGACGUGGAUGACAUCGGGAAACCGGUGACACUACCGGAUAAUACGUCCUACGGGUUAAUUCAAUGGAGAUACGCACCUUUCCUGUCUCUAUUAGCCGACGUCGCAUUAGCUAGUUGGCGAGGUAACGGCCCACCAAGGCAACGAUGCGUAGCCGAUCUGAGAGGAUGAUCAGCCACACUGGAACUGAGACACGGUCCAGACUCCUACGGGAGGCAGCAGUGGGGAAUCUUCGGCAAUGGGCGAAAGCCUGAUGGAGCCACGCCGCGUGGGUGAUGAAGGCCUUCGGGUCGUAAAACCCUGUUAUUAGGGAAGAACAAAUGUGGAAUUAACUCUGGACGUCUUGACGGUACCUAAACAGAAAGCCACGGCUAACUACGUG
rnacentral:rRNA from 1 species